GUCAUUUUCAACUAAACUCCGCUCAGAAUCGUUUUUUCGUAAGUAAUGGUUUACCGUUGCUUACAGGUAUACAUUGAACUAUCUAAAACAAUAGCUGCACCUGUCCCUAUUAUCCUAGGACGUCUUUUUAAUAUUUUACAUUACAUAAUACAAUCAUAUUUUAAUGGUAUUAAAAUAACGCGCGUCUAAAUGGCACUUAAGUUUAUAAGUUAUAAAUUAUAAAUUUACAAUAUUGUUUAAUGCCUAGAUAUACGGUAGAAUAACGCGAUAGACG